rnacentral:rRNA from 1 species
GCGGCAGGCCUAACACAUGCAAGUCGAACGGUAGCACAGAGAGCUUGCUCUCGGGUGACGAGUGGCGGACGGGUGAGUAAUGUCUGGGAAACUGCCUGAUGGAGGGGGAUAACUACUGGAAACGGUAGCUAAUACCGCAUAACGUCGCAAGACCAAAGAGGGGGACCUUCGGGCCUCUUGCCAUCAGAUGUGCCCAGAUGGGAUUAGCUAGUAGGUGGGGUAACGGCUCACCUAGGCGACGAUCCCUAGCUGGUCUGAGAGGAUGACCAGCCACACUGGAACUGAGACACGGUCCAGACUCCUACGGGAGGCAGCAGUGGGGAAUAUUGCACAAUGGGCGCAAGCCUGAUGCAGCCAUGCCGCGUGUAUGAAGAAGGCCUUCGGGUUGUAAAGUACUUUCAGCGGGGAGGAAGGUGUUGUGGUUAAUAACCRCAGCAAUUGACGUUACCCGCAGAAGAAGCACCGGCUAACUCCGUGCCAGCAGCCGCGGUAAUACGGAGGGUGCAAGCGUUAAUCGGAAUUACUGGGCGUAAAGCGCACGCAGGCGGUCUGUCAAGUCGGAUGUGAAAUCCCCGGGCUCAACCUGGGAACUGCAUUCGAAACUGGCAGGCUAGAGUCUUGUAGAGGGGGGUAGAAUUCCAGGUGUAGCGGUGAAAUGCGUAUAGAUCUGGAGGAAUACCGGUGGCGAACGAGGCCCCCUGGACAAAGACUGACGCUCAGGUGCGACAAGCGUGAGGAGCAAACAGAAUUACAUACCCUGGUCAGUCCACGCCGUAAACGCAUGUCGACUUGCAGGGUCGUUGCCCUUGAUGGCAUGGCUUCCGGAGCUAACGCGUCUACGUCUAGCGCACUGGGGAGUACGGCCGCAAGGCUAAAACUCAAAUGAAUUG